UGCAGAUUUCAGUGAACCAUUAGAUUUCCGAACGCAUAUGGCGCUGUAGGGACUUCCCUGCAGCACGUCUGUUUCAGUGUCUUU
rnacentral:rRNA from 1 species